rnacentral:rRNA from 1 species
GGGGACAACCCGCCGAAAGGCGGGCUAAACCCGCGUACAUGCCACCGGGGCAUCCCGGAGGCAGGAAAGGCUUCGGCCGGACAGGGAUGGGCAUGCGGCGCACUAGGCAGUAGGCGGGGUAACGGCCCACCUAACCGACGAUGCGUAGGGGUUCUGAGAGGAAGGUCCCCCACACUGGUACUGAGACACGGACCAGACUCCUACGGGAGGCAGCAGUGAGGAAUAUUGGUCAAUGGUCGGGAGACUGAACCAGCCAAGCCGCGUGAGGGAUGAAGGUACAGAGUAUCGUAAACCUCUUUUGUCAGGGAACAAAGGCGGGGACGUGUCCCCGGAUGAGUGUACCUGAAGAAAAAGCAUCGGCUAACUCCGUGCCAGCAGCCGCGGUAAUACGGAGGAUGCGAGCGUUAUCCGGAUUUAUUGGGUUUAAAGGGUGCGCAGGCGGUCUGUUAAGUCAGCGGUCAAAGCCCGGGGCUCAACCCCGGCCCGCCGUUGAAACUGGCAGUCUCGAGUUGGAGAGAAGUAUGCGGAAUGCGCGGUGUAGCGGUGAAAUGCAUAGAUAUCGCGCAGAACUCCGAUUGCGAAGGCAGCAUGCCGGCUCCACACUGACGCUGAGGCACGAAAGCGUGGGUAUCGAACAGGAUUAGAUACCCUGGUAGUCCACGCAGUAAACGAUGAA